rnacentral:lncRNA from 1 species
UCAAUUGACCUAAUAUAUUGAAUACUAGAUCAGAUAUAUCCAUUAGAUCAGCCUAGUCGAUGAAAUUAGUUUUGACAUUCUUUCCUUUGAGGGAGGCUUGAUAAUGAUCUACAGGAUGUUUCGGUGUACGAUAGGUACGCACCCAACGCCCAUUCCAACCACACCUAUUUUAGACUCCUUCAGGAUUCCUAGGAGUGUUAUUGUAAUACCCUAAUUAUUUUUAAAUAUGAAAUUUAAUUAUGAAAUUCAAAUGGGGGGAAAUGAAAUCCCUAUUCUGGAUUUUAUUGCUAAUUAAGUAUUUUGUAGUUGUAUUCAGAGUUACAACGCAUUUAUAUUCACGGCGUAUAAUUUUAUUUCAAUAAGUCAAAAAAACGAAAAUGCUCCUAGUUGGCUAAACAUAAUUAUACGAGGACGUAUUUUAUCCUUAUAUGUUUCGCGG